rnacentral:misc_RNA from 1 species
CAGGACUCGCAAAACUCCCGUAAACCACUGUGAACUUACCUACAACCCAUUACCUCGACGAGUACUUCGAACGCGUCUUCGAGCGCUCCAGAACGCUCCAGCCCGCCGACGACCCCUAAACUCUGUCUCUGUAACAUUGGCAUCUCCGAGCAAACUAUAAACGAGUCA